GACGAACCGUGCAAACGUUGUUCGGAAUCACUGGGCUUAAAGGGCGCGUAGGCGGGUCUCCCAGUCUGUGGUGAAAUCCUCCAGCUUAACUGGAGAAGUGCCGUGGAUACUGGAGACCUCGAGGAGGGUAGGGGCAUCUGGAACGGUCGGUGGAGCGGUGAAAUGCGUUGAUAUCGACCGGAACUCCGGUGGCGAAGGCGAGGUGCUGGGCCCUUUCUGACGCUGAGGCGCGAAAGCCAGGGGAGCAAACGGG
rnacentral:rRNA from 1 species